rnacentral:rRNA from 1 species
GAUGAACGCUGGCGGCGUGCCUAAUACAUGCAAGUCGAGCGAACUGAUUAGAAGCUUGCUUCUAUGACGUUAGCGGCGGACGGGUGAGUAACACGUGAGCAACCUGCCUGUAAGACUGGGAUAACUUCGGGAAACCGAAGCUAAUACCGGAUAGGAUCUUCUCCUUCAUGGGAGAUGAUUGAAAGAUGGUUUCGGCUAUCACUUACAGAUGGGCCCGCGGUGCAUUAGCUAGUUGGUGAGGUAACGGCUCACCAAGGCAACGAUGCAUAGCCGACCUGAGAGGGUGAUCGGCCACACUGGGACUGAGACACGGCCCAGACUCCUACGGGAGGCAGCAGUAGGGAAUCUUCCGCAAUGGACAAAAGUCUGACGGAGCAACGCCGCGUGAGUGAUGAAGGCUUUCGGGUCGUAAAACUCCGUUGUUAGGGAAGAACAAGUACAAGAGUAACUGCUUGUACCUUGACGGUACCUAACCAGAAAGCCACGGCUAACUACGUGCCAGCCGCCGCAGUAA